rnacentral:rRNA from 1 species
GCAAAUGGCCGUACGUACAACUAUGGCUAUUAUCUAGCGGAUGACAUCUAUCCAAAGUGGGAAACCUUCGUGAAGCCGUUGAAAAAGCCGGAAGGUAAGAAAAAUCUUGAUUUCCACAAUGCUCAGGCAGCGGCUAGAAAAGAUGUGGAGAGAGCAUUUGGAAUUUUGCAAGCCCAAUUUGCUAUUGUGAGAGGACCGGCUAGAUUUUGGGAUCAAAAAAUGCUUUGGUACAUCAUGCACGCUUGUGUGAUCAUGCACAACAUGAUCAUCGAGAAUGAGCGUGGUCAAGAUUUAGACUACUCACAGUAUGAGCUCUUGGAACAUCCCGUGCGAGUGCGUCGGAGGGCUGAAAGGGUAGCCCGUUUUAUUGCCUCCUAUCAUGCCAUUCGGCGUCCCGCAACGCACAAUGAACUUCAGAAUGAUCUGAUUGAAGAGUGGUGGGCAUGGCAUGGACGACAAAGAGCAUGA